UUUAUUGGAGAGUUUGAUCCUGGCUCAGGAUGAACGCUGGCGGCGUGCCUAAUACAUGCAAGUCGAGCGAAUGGAUUGAGAGCUUGCUCUCAAGAAGUUAGCGGCGGACGGGUGAGUAACACGUGGGUAACCUGCCCAUAAGACUGGGAUAACUCCGGGAAACCGGGGCUAAUACCGGAUAACAUUUUGAACUGCAUGGUUCGAAAUUGAAAGGCGGCUUCGGCUGUCACUUAUGGAUGGACCCGCGUCGCAUUAGCUAGUUGGUGAGGUAACGGCUCACCAAGGCAACGAUGCGUAGCCGACCUGAGAGGGUGAUCGGCCACACUGGGACUGAGACACGGCCCAGACUCCUACGGGAGGCAGCAGUAGGGAAUCUUCCGCAAUGGACGAAAGUCUGACGGAGCAACGCCGCGUGAGUGAUGAAGGCUUUCGGGUCGUAAAACUCUGUUGUUAGGGAAGAACAAGUGCUAGUUGAAUAAGCUGGCACCUUGACGGUACCUAACCAGAAAGC
rnacentral:rRNA from 1 species